UAGAAGGAUGGCUAUACUGGAAACUACGGGCUGAGCUGAUACGAAGACUACCCAUUGGUGUAGGUAUUGUAUUAGAAUAACC
rnacentral:tRNA from 1 species